UAGAAAGUUGCUUAGUUGGUAAAGCACUUGUCUAGCGAAUAAGGGUCGUGAGUUCAAAUCUCACUUGUAA
rnacentral:tRNA from 1 species